rnacentral:rRNA from 1 species
UGAAUACAGAUGCUACGGCGUCGAAGCAGUCUAUGUCAUACUUCCAAGAAAAGCUCGCACUGUCAUAAACAAAUAAUGCCUGUACCAUAACCGACACAGGUGGGUAGGUAGAGUAUACUAAGGGGCGCGAGAUAACUCUCUCUAAGGAACUCGGCAAAAUGACUCCGUAACUUCGGGAGAAGGAGUGCCUUAUUUAUAAGGUUGCAAUAACAAGAUCCAAGCAACUGUUUAUCAAAAACACAGGUCUCCGCUAAGUCGUAAGACGAUGUAUGGGGGCUGACGCCUGCCCAGUGCCAGAAGGUUAAAGAAGUUGGUUAGCAUUCGCGAAGCUGAUAACUGAAGCCCUGGUGAACGGCGGCCGUAACAAUAACGGUCCUAAGGUAGCGAAAUUCCUUGUCGGGUAAGUUCCGACCCGCACGAAAGGCGUAAUGAUUUGGAUACUGUCUCGGAGAGGGGCUCGGUGGAAUAGACUUGUCUGUGAAGAUGCGGACUACCUGCACCAGGACAGAAAGACCCUAUGAAGCUUUACUGUAACUUGAGAUUGAAAUUGGACUUUACUUGCGCAGUAUAGGUGGGAGGCGUUGAUAAUAUUCUUGCGGGAUUAUUUGAGCCAUCAGUGAGAUACCACUCUUGUAAUGUUAGAUUUCUAACUUUGUAUCAUUAUCUGGUCAAAGGACAGUUUCAGGCGGGCAGUUUGACUGGGGCGGUCGCCUCCUAAACGGUAACGGAGGCGCACAAAGGUUUCCUCUGAACGGGUAGAAAUCGUAUCUAGAGUGUAAAGGCAUAAGGAAGCUUGACUGUGAGACCUACAAGUCGAGCAGGGACGAAAGUCGGUCUUAGUGAUCUGACGGUGCUGAGUGGAAAGGCCGUCACUCAACGGAUAAAAGUUACUCUAAGGAUAACAGGCUGAUCUCCCCCAAGAGUUCACAUCGACGGGGAGGUUUGGCACCUCGAUGUCGGCUCAUCGCAUCCUGGGGCGGUAGUACGUCCCAAGGGUUGGGCUGUUCGCCCAUGAAAGCGGUACGCGAGCUGGGUUCAGAACGUCGUGAGACAGUUCGGUCCAUAUCCGGUGUAGGCGUUAGAAUAUUGAGAGGAGCCUUCUUUAGUACGAGAGGACCGAGAAGGACAUACCUCUGGUGUACCAGUUAUCGUGCCAACGGUAAACGCUGGGUAGCUAUGUAUGGAUUGGAUAACCGCUGAAAGCAUCUAAGUGGGAAGCCCACCUCAAGAUAAG